rnacentral:lncRNA from 1 species
AAGCCCUCAGUGGAACAGUGGGACAUUUUAUCCCUCUGAGGAUAAAAAUUGAAGAAUGAUAAAAUAUGGGGUGUUGUAUAUGUGUGUGUUUGUGUGUGCACUCAUGUGUAAAAUGAUGGUUUGCCUACGCCGGGCAUGUGUUGAGCUGUUCUCAAAGCCUGACUCGGUCUUGGUGGAGGUUUAAUCCUGUGCCCUUGUGCGUGUACACUUGAUUAGUAGUUGUGGUUAUCUCAGCAGAAGACAUACCGCCCUCCUCCUUGUAUUGGUCGGGACCCGGGCACUGGGGAGUCAAGGCAAAGGAGAAAGAAGAGAGGUUUUGCAUUAGUAUGCUAUGAAAGCCUUACUGGCUGCAGAACAAAUUGAUUGCUCCGUCGGUCGGUAUACCUGUGCUUGGCACCACUGCUGUGAAAGAAAGGUAGGGCUGGGAUCUGUUUGAUUGUAUGACAUAUUGUGACACUCCAGGAAUAUUUAACAUGCGCCCUUUCUGUGGCACGUGCUGGAUGUCUGAGG